rnacentral:lncRNA from 1 species
CUAACUUCUGGUUCUUACAUAUGAUAGGAUUUUCCUUAUUACUAUUACUGGUUCCUGAACUCUGAAAGCAAAAGGAAUGGUAUAUUAAACUGUAGAUUAUUGUGUUUACUUUGGAGUGUUGAAGAUUAAGAUGCUGCCCGCAAUUUCUUUUUAAAUUACGGGCUCAUUAACAGCAUACUUCCAUAACACCUUUGGUGAAAUAACAGCACUUUGAAUGCAUAAUGAGAAAUAUAAUGAUUUAGAAACUCUCUUUCUAAGUUUCUACUUGGUCACAUCUGCACGCUACUUUCACAUUUUGGCAUGAUUUCGUCCAGAUCGUUUCAAUUGUUAACCUGUUGGAUUAAAUAGAGUGAAAGCAUGUGUGAUAUGCUGAUCAAAGGCAUGCAGAAGGCUCAUAUUUGUAGUAAAAGACUUUGGACCUUGCAUGUCUACAAUAAACCUCUUUUUGUUUGGUCAAAACUCAAAAUUAUGGUAGGAAAGUAGCUUAGUUCAAAUUUAUUGUGUUUUUUUUAAAUUGAUGUAUGAGGAUUUGAGCUUAUUAGAUUACGCUGCUUUGGUUGGUAGGAUUGACGAGAACAUGGAUGAGUCACUGGCAAAUGUGGAGGGGGCACAGAGCCAGUUGGUCCGAUACCUUAACAGUAUUUCAUCCAACCGUUGGCUGAUGAUCAAGAUAUUCUUUAUAUUGAUUGUAUUCCUCAUGUUUUUCUUAUUUUUUGUGGCAUAAAUAUAUUGAAGGAAAUAGAAAAUUAAAGGAUAUAUGAGUUCUCUCUCUCAAUAUAUAUAUAUGCAAUCUCAGGGUACUUUCACCCCCAUUUUUGAGUAGUAAAGCCUUCUGCCAAUAAACUUCAGUUGCUAAAAAUGCAACUGGGGAAUUUGGUCUCCCCCAUGAAAAUGCUAAAAGGAUUGAACAGGUUUGGAAAGCCAAAAUAUGAAUUGGAUUUAACAGGUUUGGAAGUUGAUAGUAGGCUAACUCCAGUGAAGGAUGUAAAAUUCCAACUAGAAAGAUGGCUUGUUCCCAACCCUGAAGCAACUGAUACGGGAGAGUUGCCUGAAAGUGUUAAUUAUGCUUGCAGUUGCAGCUUACCAGACUGUCCUGCUUUGGGUUACGGUUCCUCCUGUAAUCACUGAACUGCUUAAGGAAAUGCAUCUUAUGCUUUCAACAUGUACUAUAAGGUUAAUAACCAGCACCUUUGGGACCGUGAUUUCUCUGGUCUGGCUAUAGUCACUGAUGAGACUCCAAGAAAGUUCAGUUCCCAGUCAUGAUAGAAUUAGCUUAUCGUUGUUCCAUGCUUCUUCAUGGUAAUCUUCUGGAUAUUUUACUGAGAAUUGUUGGAGUAUUUGUUCUAUCAUUUUCGUAUCUGUUAUGAUAUUAUGAUCUUAGUAAAAAUGAAUUUCUAUGCAAAAACAUGGACAUUAUAUUCUGUUAUCAUCUCGUAAAUGCGAAUAGUGAUAGUAAUAGAAUAUUUUUAGUUACUUCAAAAUUAUAAUAUGUGAUACGUUGUCUGAAAUUAUUAUCGUGUAAAUAUAAAUGUACGAUGACCUUCAUUUUUAAAUAUGAUAAGAGUGUCACGCUUUGAUUAUUAUGUCCAACUAGAACUAACACCAUAAAAUUAACUAAUAUAACAUUGGUAAAGAAAAAAUGAAUAUUGACGCCUAUUUACAAGUUUUAAUAAACCAGCAGGAUAUAAGUUCCAAGUUUAAAUUUCUUUUUUUUUUUUUAAUUAAUUUAAUUUUCAUAUUUUUAUUAAAAAUUAAUUUAAAGAUAAUUAAUAAUAAUAUUAAAAUUUUGUCAUUUAAAAAUUCAGUCAUACUUGCCGACUUUGAAGUUUUUGUCGCGUAACAUACAUUAUUACAAAAAAAAAAGCUUUUAUUAACAGAAAAAUACAAUGUUUUAUUUUUGAUUUAAAAUGAUUAAUUAUUAUUUUAUUAAAAAAAUAUGAUUUUUUAAAAUUAAUACGUACCAUGUAACUCAAAAAACUAUAUGUUGUCAUCAUUAAAAUGUGACCUUAUCUAAAUUAAAUGUAAGAAUCAAAUUCAAACCACCGUGUUGUGUUGAUACGACACCGUACGGAACCUAUGUGACCCAAACCCGAACUGAUAAUUGGUAGAUCUGCUGGAUGGUUCUUAGUUCUUUCUUGUUCUCUGCAAUUCUUGCUUGCGGGGAGCAGCUGGAUCCGAUCUCUUCUCUUAAUCUUUACCAUUUUCCUUAUUUCUUCACAAACGACGAGGUGCGCCCUUCCCAAAUCACACCUUCACCAAUCUCUUUAAUUUACGGUUUCAGAUUUGCUCAAUUCAUUUUCAGAUUUUCACAAAAUUUUCCUCCCUCGUGCCUUUAAAAUGGUUAGAAUUAUCAAAGAAACGUGUUGAAAUUCCUCGAACUUUUCUCUUUUUAUGAAACAUUAAUUGUCUGGUAAAUACAAUUGUACAAAAAAAAUGCCUGUGAAAUCUGGGCAAUCGUCGUGUCGGGACCGAACGCAGGAGUUUCUGAGCGUUGCGGAAAGGCUAAAAAAGACAAUUUCGUCGGUCAAUAAUGCGUCGUUGAGUAAUAGCAGCGGUAGCGUUGGCGCCAAGCCCGAGAAUCGGAGAUCUGCCGUGGCGAUUCAGUCGGAGUUCAACAAAAGGGCCUCAAAGAUUGGGUUCGGUAUCCACCAGACAUCCCAGAAGCUAGCUAAGCUCGCAAAAUGUGAGUUGAUACAAUUUAUAGAAUUUUAUACUUCAUCUGUUUAUUUGCUUUUCUGUAAUUAAUUGUUUGAAUGUCUCUUUGAAAUUUUUUUUACCUGGGAGAAAUUAGCUCAUUUGCAUUCUUAAUGAGGAAGUUAGGGCAGAGGAAUUACCAAGUUCUGAUUGAAUUUGUAUUUGUGAAUUAUUUACUCUUUUUUUAAUUUUUCAGGAAUAGAAAGGUUUUUGGGGUUUUGUGAGGUUUCCCGGGUUGACAGUGCUGUUGUCUGGAAUGAAACUAGUAUUCGCCUAGUUGUUAUGUGAUGCAUUAUCAUAUGGGGCGAUAGAUUAUGUCGGUUUGCAGUGUGGUUUUAGUCUUUGCUUUAGGGUAAGAUGAUUAUAAUAGUAGUGAUGCAGAUGGAGUUGUGAAAAUGGUGGCGAAUUAUCUUGUAUGUUUGACAGCUAUGGUGUGAUGUGGUGAUGACUGCAACAUUGAGUGCUUGGUGUGUUUCUAUCAUGGUUAUGACUUUAGGUUUUUUUAUAUAAUGCAUGCAGUGAAUAUGGGCUAAUGGAGGUGAGUGUCUCACGUGUUGACAUGCUUUCGUUAUAAAUAGAUGGAAAAAAAAACUAUACAACUUAUGCUGAAAGCUAUAAAAGUAUCAUUUUUGUAAAAUUAGUUAUAUUCCUAUAACCAAGCAUAGAGCAGGAAGCCAUAAACUUGAUUUUAGAACAUGCAGCAACUCCCUGAGUCAUGAUAGAUUUAACCAAACGCUAUUAGAUUGUGAGUUGACACGUUGCACAAGCAUUGUUUUUGAUAUUUUAUGAACUAAAUCUAGCUGAAUGUUUGGCAAAAGGGUCUUACGCUCGCUUGAUGUCUUGAGUUGUUCUGAUGUUUCAGACCUUAGAUGGUUUGUGGAGGAGUGUCCUCUGAAGAGGGUACAUUUGGCCUUAAACUAAAGAAUGUAAUGAGGACUUGUUCCAUGAAUUAUUGAAGGCAUAAUGAUUAAACACAAUUCUGUUGCACUGAUGUUAUUUAAGAAUUGUACUGUAUGGUCAUUCUGUGCAUAGGCUAGCUUAAAUUUUGGUUGAAUAAAGGCUUCAGUAUAUUGUUACUGCUGAUUUCUAUUUGUACAUGUGAGAUCAUGUAGCGAUGCUGGCUAAUAAGAAGAAUUGAUUUCAGUUUGAGUGCUUGGGUUUCAAUUGGAUUUUAAUAGAAAAUGACUGUUAGAUUUGUUACUUGGUUGAUAAUUUCAAAUUGAAAUUAAUACUUAGGCAGGUAUUAUUUGUAUCAUUUUGUUGGUAAACUCAUGAUUCAUACCCAUGUUGAAGCUAAAUUUAUUGCAUGCAACAAAAAAAAUUCCAAGAUGUCUAACAUAUCAAGUUGAUCUGGUCAAUCAUAACUUUGCACCUGUUAAUGAAUGAGAUUAGCUUAAGACUACAAGCAACAGUUUACACUGUCGGAUCAUUUCCUUUUCAAUCACCAUAGCUUUUCCUUCGAUGUAGUUGUAAUUGCACCAAUUACUAUUGCAGUUCUUUGGAUUUUUACAUGUAAACUUCUCUGUGCUUAUUUAUGGAAUGGCAUUUUCUUACAUUCCAUUUCCUUAAGUUACUGAAAAUUGCUUCAUAUGGGCCCAUCUUUUUUUAAGUAUUGUCCCAGACAAUUGAAUACCAGAAUAAACUCCUGUGGAGAUACAUUACUUUUUGGGGUCUUAUUGGCUUGAAGGCUUGUUGCAAUUGUUUUUACAAGUGUUGCUACUUGCAUUGUUUUGUUCUGUUUAUGUUCUCAAUAUCAUCAUGUUAUUGAUCCAUUUUCCACAUAUGAUCAUGUAUUGCUUUGUUGCUUUAUACGAAGACUCCAAAUAUUGGAAUUCAGUGCUUCUAAAUACUGCAGAGAGUGCUAACCGUCAUGGGAACGAAAUUAUUUUGUGAUUAUGAUAGAAGUUAAACAGUAUUGUUUACUUUGAAGUAUUAUUUUUGUGUUCCCAGUGGCAAAGAGAACAUCUGUGUUUGAUGAUCCAACUGCUGAGAUCCAAGAACUGACAUCUGUAAUAAAGCAAGAUAUUACUGCACUUAAUUCUGCUGUAGUGGACCUCCAACUGCUUUGCAACUCACAAAAUGAAAGUGGAAAUAUCUCCAGUGACACCACAACCCAUUCAACCACAGUUGUAGAUAACCUAAAGAAUCGACUAAUGAGCACCACUAAAGAGUUUAAAGAAGUCCUCACCAUGCGAACAGAGGUAGUUUGAAUGUUGUGGUACAACAUUGUUGUUUUAGAAUGUGAUAACAUUUUCUUCAUGUCAUUGCCAUGUCUAAAUUUUGGUAUUCUUGUAUUCAUGCAGAACAUGAAGGUUCAUGAGAAUAGAAGGCAAUUGUUUUCUUCAACUGCUUCAAAAGAUACUACAAAUCCUUUUAUUCGCCAGCGACCUCUGGUUACUAGAUCAGCAGCUACAUCAUCAACAAGUCCUCCCCCUUGGGCUAACGGUUCCACAUCAUCAUCCCAGUUAUUUCCAAGGUAUAAAUUCUAGCAAGCCUUCUUCUUUUUUCUGUUUUUUUGGGAGGGAUGGGGGUGCGUAUGCUAUCAACAUAUCUUGUUAUUGGUAUUGCAUGCAGAAGGAGAAGAGAAACAUGGUGGGCCACUUGCUGUAUGCGGAACUGCUGUCUGUGCGUCCAUAUAAAAACUUAAAUGAUCAUAUCUUCUUUUAGCUCUUGACUGUUAAGUCUAUGUAAGAAUUUUUCCAUGUUUGAGGAAGAAAGAGCAAACUAAAAGAUUUUUCUCUGUUUUGGAUGGUGAUGCCAUAUCUCUGGUUGCUAGGAUUUGUGACUACUGUUAGUACUUAGUAUGAUCAUGUACUGCUAUAGCUUUUGUCCAUAGCUUUCUGAUAGAAAGUCUCUUGAAAUAUUUAGAAACAUAAAGUUUCAUUUUCCCGUGAUUAAUUAGUUAGUUGUGUUUCAAAUCAAGACAGCAACUUCUCACUGAAUAAGGACUAGGUCUUUCCAGUUGACAUAUAUGAACCUAAGAACAGGAGCAGAAAAGAACAGUUUCAUUACGUUCUAUCUUAUAUUUUGUUUUUCCUUCACAGCAAACAGGCAGAUGGGGAGUCGCAGCAGCAUCAACAGCAACAGCACCAGCAAUUGGUUCCCCUGCAAGACAGCUAUAUGCAGAGUCGAGCUGAAGCUCUUCAUAAUGUGGAGUCAACAAUUCAUGAACUAAGCAAUAUCUUUACACAACUAGCAACCAUGGUUUCUCAACAAGGGGAACUUGCAAUCAGGUUUAUCCAUCAUCUCAACUUUUUUUUUUUAUUAAUUUUUCCAAUCCCCAAGGGAAAGAAUAUGCUUCAAAUUGGAUUGGUAUUUAAGCUAACUUUUGUUAUUUCAUAUGAUUGGAUUUUCCUUGUUGCUAUUACUAGUUGCCAAGCUUUGAAGCAAAAGGAAUAUUAGAAUAAACUGUAUAUUAUUAUAUUUUCUUUGGAAUGUUGACGAUUGAGAUGCUGCUCUCAAAUCUUUGAAAACUUGGGGCUUAUCAACAGCAUAAUUUCAUUAACACCUUUGGUGAAAUGACAGCACUUUGAAUGCAUAAUGACAAAGAGAGUGCUUUAGAAAUGCUCUAUAUAAGUUUUUACUUGGCCAUAUCUGCACACUACAUUUUACAUGUUGAGAUGAUUUUUUCGACAUUGUUUCAAUUGUUAAUCUGUCUAAUCAAAUAAAGCAAAAGCACGAGUGAUGAUAUGGUUGUGAUCAAAGGCAUGUGGAAGGCUUAUGUAUAUGGGAAAAGACUUUGGACCUUGCAUGUCUACAAUAAGCCUUGUGUUAGUUUGGUCAAACUCAAAUUAUGGUAGGAAAGUGGCUAUGUUCAAAUGUAUUGUGCUUGUUUGUUUUUUGUUGAAAACUGUUUGCCAGGCGAGGAUUUGAGCUUUAUCGGGGUACACUGCUUUGGUUGGCAGGAUUGACGAGAACAUGGAUGAGUCAUUGGCAAAUGUGGAGGGGGCACAGAGCCAGUUGGUCCGAUACCUUAACAGUAUUUCAUCCAACCGUUGGCUGAUGAUCAAGAUAUUCUUUAUAUUGAUUGUAUUCCUCAUGUUUUUCUUAUUUUUUGUGGCAUAAAUAUAUUGAAGGAAAUAGAAAAAAAAAUAAAGGAUAUAAGAGUGUUCUUCUCUGUGU